AGCUGUGAUAGCGUGCCAAGCACUGCAUUAGGGACUAGGGGUGGGGAUGAUGAAGGCAGGGGCUGCUCCUGUAGCUGAGAUCUGGGGUUGACCUUCGGAGUCAGUGUGAGGAGGUCAGAGAAUGACCGAUUUGGGUUUUAGCCUACUAACUGAUCACUGAGAGCAACCCCAUGAACAUGCUAAGCAGGAUUAAAUUUAUCAGUGUUGGGACAGCUCUGUGGAGUAGCUGGAGCCAUCCCUGCGUUUGCCGCCGGGGUUAGGCUCAGAGGAGGAAUGCAACUUCUCAGAGAUUUAUAGCCAGCUUGUGACAUAGCAUGGAGUUGGUGGUCUGCUAUUACAGAACCAUGGGAUUAAAAGUUUCAUAUUGGAAGUCGGCGGAGAUCACAUGACACAGAGACGGACUUUUCCCAGCUAAAAGGACCUUGUGGCUGACAACCUUAUAGAAGCAAACUACAUAUUCUAGAAUUCAAGAGAGAUUUGGUGACAGUUUUGUUUCAUUUCUUGUUUGUUUACUUCUUUGUAAGCUAGUAAUCAUGAGUGGAGAUGAAUAGCAGAUGCCAAAACAGAAAACUUUGCUAAAUAACUUAAAAUUAAGUAAAAUCAUAUCUGCUGCAUCCA
rnacentral:lncRNA from 1 species